rnacentral:pre_miRNA from 1 species
AUUUCCCAUUAAAGAUCUCAACCCUACAGCUUUAGGAUUUCGGGCACUCCGAAAUCCCAAGGCUGUUGAGUUGAGAUCUUUGAUGAGCCCGAAAU